rnacentral:lncRNA from 1 species
CCUGCGCUUUCUCAAUGAAAUUUUUACAGUGUGUUGUACUACUUUUGGGACAAAUUAUAUCAAAAUUAUAGAAAACUUCAUCGCCUCUAACUCAAAAUAUGGACAAUUUUGUGUUUAGGGUGUCUUGAAAUCUUUUGACAGCUUCCGAAGUGCUAAUUUUUAACCUUUUUCAGCUGGACCAAAUCACUACUUUUCUGUAAAAUUCUGGACCCAAAUUUUUUCACAGUGUAAUUUCACCCCC